CGGAUUCAUUCGUUCGUACACUCAAGACUGGUUGCUUCUUUGUUUCUAAAACUAGUUUCUUGCGCUUCUAUGUAACUUGGGGUGAAGUUACGUGUUUGCAAGCGGACAUGUAAGCCCGGCAGUUGGUUUUCGGUCGUGAGCCAUUCGGAACAGGUCUGCAUCGAAACGGGAGCUGGAUUUUGCUGCGGCUGACAACGGCAAUAACGACAUGCAGUAAUGACGACGGCACCAGUAUAAAGCAACACACUCCACGCACUAAACAGAAGCUGCUGCCUGCUACGACAAGGUCAUUGUGUGGACAUUGGCUACUACUACAAGAGUCUAUGCCAAGCACAUCUUGGUCAUCACAGGAGCUCCUAUCUGCACCAACAGGAAGGGGCUGGAGCCGAAUUUGCAAGGCUUUUACACCAAGAACAAAGAAGAACAUGCACAAGAAUAUGGAUGAGAUAUCAAGUCUGCAAAGGACUGUGUUAAGACUGCAAAGAGCUUCAGCCACCAUUCCACCAGCACGGACAUUUGGCUGAGUCAUCCAAGUAACUCAAAAAGGACUUUCUAGAAAUUCUUCGUCUUCAGAUGCACCUGCAACAUCUGACCAAGCACGGACGACGCUGGCCAAAAGAUUGAGUUUCAUCAGUUCGUCCUUAAUCAGCUUCCAAGCCAUGUU